rnacentral:rRNA from 1 species
AUUGAACGCUGGCGGCAGGCCUAACACAUGCAAGUCGAGCGAUCGGCGGACGGGUGAGUAAUGUAUGGGGACUGCCCGAUAGAGGGGGAUAACUACUGGAAACGGUAGCUAAUACCGCAUACUAUCGGAUAACCCAUAUGGGAUUAGCUGGUAGGUGAGGUAAUGGCUCACCUUGGCGAGGAGACCUAGCUGGUCGGAGAGGAUGAUCAGCCACACUGGGACUGGGAAACGGCCAAGACUCCUACGGAGGCAGCAGUGGGAAAUAUUGCAAAAUGGGCGCAAGCCUGAUGCAGCCAUGCCGCGGGUAUGAAGAAGGCCCUAGGGUUGUAAAGUACGUUAAGUCGGGAGGCGUUACCGACAGAAGAAGCACCGGCUAACUACGUGCCAGCAGCCGCGGUAAUAC